rnacentral:sRNA from 1 species
CUGCACAGCAAGAUGGGGGGACCCUCAACACCCUCCUUUCACAGCUCCCCCUUCUCUCUCCCAUAGCUGGGGCUUUGUGCACCCUCGGUUGCUCAGCGUGCCCGAGCUCUGCCACCAUGUAGCUGAAGUCUGGGUUAGUGGGACCAUUUUCAUAAGGAAUGUUUUGCUUUUCAAAAAGCAAAACCCAGGCAAGUUCUGCUUGCUGAGCUGUGGGAUACUGACCUUUUUGGCUGUCUUGGGCCGCUACGUCCCUGGGCUUCUGCUGUCCUACUUGAUGCUUGUCACUGUCAUGAUGUGGCCCCUUGCUGUGUACCACCGACUGUGGGAUCGAGCAUAUGUGCGGCUGAAGCCAGCUCUGCAGCGGCUGGACUUCAGUGUCCGUGGCUACAUGAUGUCCAAGCAGAGAGAGAGACAAUUACGCCGCAGAGCUCUGCACCCAGAACGAGCCAUGGACAACCACAGUGACAGUGAAGAGGAGCUUGCUGCCUUCUGUCCUCAGCUGGACGAUUCUACUGUUGCCAGGGAAUUGGCCAUCACAGACUCUGAGCACUCAGACGCUGAAGUCUCCUGU